UGCAAGUCGAGCGGAAACGACACUAACAAUCCUUCGGGUGCGUUAAUGGGCGUCGAGCGGCGGACGGGUGAGUAAUGCCUAGGAAAUUGCCUUGAUGUGGGGGAUAACCAUUGGAAACGAUGGCUAAUACCGCAUAAUGCCUACGGGCCAAAGAGGGGGAUCUUCGGACCUCUCGCGUCAAGAUAUGCCUAGGUGGGAUUAGCUAGUUGGUGAGGUAAUGGCUCACCAAGGCGACGAUCCCUAGCUGGUCUGAGAGGAUGAUCAGCCACACUGGAACUGAGACACGGUCCAGACUCCUACGGGAGGCAGCAGUGGGGAAUAUUGCACAAUGGGCGAAAGCCUGAUGCAGCCAUGCCGCGUGUAUGAAGAAGGCCUUCGGGUUGUAAAGUACUUUCAGUUGUGAGGAAGGGUGUGUAGUUAAUAGCUGCGCAUCUUGACGUUAGCAACAGAAGAAGCACCGGCUAACUCCGUGCCAGCAGCCGCGGUAAUAC
rnacentral:rRNA from 1 species